UUGGACGCUUACUUGCUUAUUCUACCCUGCUUCUCGGAGCCAUCUGGACGUAUUUCGCUCCGCUCUGCGUGGGACUUAUAUUUUCGUCGCCGUCUCCAUGCUGUGACAGUGUCUUUGUGCCGUGUCAGUGAUCACUGAAGGUGUUUUGUGUGUGUACCUUAGAAUCAACCUACAGAAGCCGUGGCAGGUGUGUGCGCAUUCCAGAUACCUUCGUCAAAUAUGCAGAAAAAGAAACUAUCGACAUCAAAGGUGCCUGGACAGAAACGGAAAAAGCUCAUCAAAAAGCAUUUGGCAAACUUUCUGAGGGACCUACGUCGCGCCAGUACCUGAAUAAACCGGUAUUUUGUAA